rnacentral:rRNA from 1 species
UACACACUGCCCGUCACGCCAUGGGAAUUGGUUUUACCUGAAGUUAGUGAGCUAACGCAAGAGGCAGCUAACCACGGUGAAAUUAGUGACUGGGGUG